rnacentral:rRNA from 1 species
CAAAGUGGGGCAGACUACCAUGCAAGUCGAGCGGAAACGAUGGAAGCUUGCUUCCAGGCGUCGAGCGGCGGACGGGUGAGUAAUGCAUAGGAAUCUGCCCGGUAGUGGGGGAUAACCUGGGGAAACCCAGGCUAAUACCGCAUACGUCCUACGGGAGAAAGCAGGGGAUCUUCGGACCUUGCGCUAUCGGAUGAGCCUAUGUCGGAUUAGCUAGUUGGUGAGGUAAUGGCUCACCAAGGCCGCGAUCCGUAGCUGGUCUGAGAGGAUGAUCAGCCACAUCGGGACUGAGACACGGCCCGAACUCCUACGGGAGGCAGCAGUGGGGAAUAUUGGACAAUGGGCGAAAGCCUGAUCCAGCCAUGCCGCGUGUGUGAAGAAGGCCCUCGGGUUGUAAAGCACUUUCAGUGAGGAAGAACGCUUGCGGGUUAAUACCCCGCAGGAAGGACAUCACUCACAGAAGAAGCACCGGCUAACUCCGUGCCAGCAGCCGCGGGUAAUACGGAGGGUGCGAGCGUU